rnacentral:misc_RNA from 1 species
GAUGAGAGUCUUUCACAUGGAGCAAGUGUCAGCGGCUAACGUUAUCAACAUCUGGGCCGGUAUAACCAAUUUUGCUCCUCUGCUUGGCGCUUUCAUCUCCGAUGCCUAUGUGGGCAGGUUUAGAACGAUUGCUUUUGCUUCCUGUGCAGUUUUUCUGGGAAUGGUGACUAUGACCUUAACGGCAUGGCUGCCUUAUCUCC